AAUGGAGGCGUUUGAAAACGAGGGCUUGUGCCGAGUGGGGUCCGGGACACAGCCUCGUAUCUCCGCAGCGGAGGAGGAUUGCUGAGUUGCCGCGAUUGCAAUUAACUCAAGACCGACUUCAGUGAUUACGCACAUUACAACUUAUGAUUUGUGAGAAGAAAGAAGAGUUGGUGAUGCAUCAUUCCUGUUCGUGACUCGUAGCCCUUUGUAUCAAAUCUGGAGGUGGAAGUUGUCGAAUGCAAUUGCUGCCGUCCUUUCUUCACAUCAGUGUCUACAAAGUUCUGAAAAAUGGCGUCUCUGGAUGAUACCAAGCUAUCUACUCCAGUGUCAACGAGACACUAGCGUUUGGUAUUAUACUUCAAGCAGAAAGCUGAACCAUUUUUCGGAACUGGCACAUGUUUUGGAAACGAUAUCGGUUGCAUCAGCACACGACCUAGGUUACGCUAAUGAUUUGAUAAGAUGCAUCUAAUCACGAGGAGAGACAUUGGAAGUUUGUAGAAAACAAAGCUGAAGAGUGAAGACGGCGGUUCAGGUUUUGGUAGUCCAUGUGAAACGUUGGUAGAAGACAACUUAGUCUUUGUGCUGCCUCUGGAGUGAAACUUCUGGCAAUAUUACCGCCACCUAAGGAAGUUCUGCUCUCAAUCCUUUCUUCUUCUUCCGAAUCGAUCUUAUUCAUAAGCACUUUUGCUGGGUUUACCUUUUCUUAUCGCAAAUCUUGCACAUUGUUCAUCGCUUAAUUGUCUGAAACGACGCGGUACUGGAUCAGCAUAACCACGGAGGUCUCCAUCUUAAUCCAAAUCUCGUGUAGGCAUGCUGUUUUAAGUCUUAUGAAAAACCUUUUUAACGUGGAGAUUGAAGUAGGGGCAAACAGAUUUCGAUUCGAAAAGUGCAAAUUACGGUGAAGGACAGCUGGAAGGAAGUGGAUCUGCGAGAAAGUGGGAAUUAGGCUAUUAUGCCUAUCAGGAUUGUUCAUCGAAGUUGCAUGAUCAAGGAGGUCCUGAUGUUGGCCAUUAUCCUUCAUUCCGAAAGUGAUCCUCCGCAUUAUUUCAUGAAUACUUGAUCACGAUGGCCUCGUGAAGUUCAGCGAGCUGGCUCAUUGGUCCCUAUCCUUCAUCAUGAUUUCAGAGCCAUAAGCAUGUCGAAGAGUGAUGUAUCAUAACAGUAUAUGUUGCAAUUCGGUUCGUCCACUCCGAUUUCAGAACAAUGGGGAGAUUCAGAUCACACGUCCAAUUCAAGAGAACAAACUCGACGCUGUUAGUCUGUACGGGAGCCUCCAUGGUCUUUCUUUUGAUCCCUCCAACACGCAUGCAUUGUUGCGUGCUGUCAAUUCACUCCAAUCUAUCAAAGAAUCUCAACGGUGUUCGGCGCAAACCAGCUGCCGAGAAUCACCCCAUCAAUCCUCUUCAAACUCUUCCUCAACCAGUUCCCCUGAGAAUACCACUGAUUCCAUUCCUACCUGCAAUGAGCCAGAAUCCUGUCCUAACCACAGAAGUGGCCAAGCCCCGGCUGUUGCUGACGCAGGACCCACGCAGACUCAAAGCUCUUCUGGCCCAACAUCUCAAGGCUCUUCUGGCUCAACAUCUCAAAGCUUAGAGAAUUCCUCUGAAAGGGGCAGCCGACAAAUUCCAAUUUCAAAGGGAUCCGAGCCUGCUCAAGUAAGCGUUGGUACUGCGAGCAAAGGCUCGGGAAAAGCUGGUGUGACAUGGAUUGACUGGGGAUGGCCAGGGACUCACGACAAUUGCCCUUUCAACCCACGACACUCUGUGGAUGAUAGCCUUAUCCGUCAUGAACGGGUAGGUUCUGUACAGGAACAGGCGCAUUUCUGUUGCUGCAUACCUCUUCGGAUUCGCAGCAUCUUCCUGAAUUUUCUCUUUUGGCUCGUGGAGUAGGAACACGUUUAUGAAACGAGUAUCGUGAUGGGAUUCCGACCGUUCACGGGCAAAUGAGUGGUUAAGUAUAUAUAUAUAUAUUUAUCUGAGGUAAUAGGAUAUCUUUCUCACAAGCUCGAGGUAUGGAUGCAUAUUCCAUGCGUUUCUUUUAUUUCUUUGUUGCGUUGGUUUUCAAUUUUCGAAUGCCUGAAGUUUCAAGCAUAGUUUCUUAGGAAUAGGUUGUAGUCCAUCAUCUCUUCUUCAUCUGAGCUCUCCAACGAUGCUCUUUUCUGAAUUAGACGUGGUGGAGUAGGUUGAAUCAUUGCGAAAAUUAUCCGAAUCCCUCAGGAGAAGCUACUGAUGUUGCAAGGUGGAAUGUGUUCUUGCAAUCGUUUGAUACUCAACUUCUUCAAGCGCCCGUUGGAUUAGCAGAACAUCUCAAAAGACCAGGACAUGAAACGACCUAUACACUGGCUAUAGUGAGAAGUUUAAUGGGAGUAUCUUCUAGUCCAAGUCUGUACUGAGUGAGUAGGUUUUUGAUGUGUACAGAUUUUCUGUGAAAGUUCGAACGGCAUAUUGAGAACUUGUUGCCCCUGCAUCAGGAAGUUGGUGAAAUGUUGCAAGUUACGUGUACGACAACUGAAAUCAGCUAUGAGUGUGUGUCAUUGACAUGAAUUCGGAUGUUUGGCAGGUCAAAUUUGCAUGAGAAUAUUUAAAACAAAUUGUAUCAACCAAUUACAGUGUUGACAGUAAAAACUAUAUCACCUACAACAAUUCGAUACUUUCAGCUUUCCUGCGGACAUAUCUGAUCUUAAGCAUUUGGAAAUCAAGGUAUAUCAUAUUUAACAACAUUCUUACAUGAAGCCUUGAAUAUGGAGAUGAAACAAAAUUCACAUGGAUACUUUGUACAAUUUGUUUGUAUGCAAAGGUUUAGGGUUUAGGGUUUAGGGUUUAUGCCAGCCCCACUUGUAAUUUGAUUGAUGCAUGUGGAGUAUGAGAGUAUGUUGAAGACAAUUAGAGGAAGGAAGAUGCAAUGCAAGACAAUACAAGGCUGAUUAUGUAGAAAGGAACUUUGAAAGGUUUUUAUGGAAUUUCAAUUUAUUAGCAUGUGUAAAUUUUGAUUAAAUUUUGAAAACUUACCAACACAGUUCACUCCAA